rnacentral:rRNA from 1 species
UUUUAAGCUUAGUGGCGAACGGGUGAGUAACGCGUGAGUAACCUGCCCUAUAGUGAGUCGACAUUAGUUGGAAACGACUGCUAAUACCGCAUAAGCCCACGGUACCGCAUGGUACUGAGGGAAAAGGAUUUAUUCGCUUUAGGAUGGACUCGCGUCCAAUUAGCUAGUUGGUGAGGUAACGGCCCACCAAGGCGACGAUUGGUAGCCGGACUGAGAGGUUGAACGGCCACAUUGGGACUGAGACACGGCCCAGACUCCUACGGGAGGCAGCAGUGGGGGAUAUUGCACAAUGGGGGAAACCCUGAUGCAGCGACGCCGCGUGGAGGAAGAAGGUUUUCGGAUUGUAAACUCCUGUCGUUAGGGACGAUAAUGACGGUACCUAACAAGAAAGCACCGGCUAACUACGUGCCAGCAGCCGCGGUAAAACGUAGGGUGCAAGCGUUGUCCGGAAUUACUGGGUGUAAAGGGAGCGCAGGCGGGAAGACAAGUUGGAAGUGAAAACCAUGGGCUCAACCCAUGAAUUGCUUUCAAAACUGUUUUUCCUUGAGUAGUGCAG